CGCCCUUCUUGGAUGGGGUAGUGGUAUUUGGACUACCAUGAGGAUUACGGGGUACGAGGAAUUAGGGUUUGAUAUCGGAGAGGGAGCCUGAGAAACGGCUACCACUUCUAAGGAAGGCAGCAGGCGCGUAAAUUACCCAAUCCCAACUCGGGGAGGUAGUGACAAGAAAUAAUAACUCGGAUAGUUCUACUAUUACGAGAUUAAAAUGAGAACAAUUUAAAAAUCUUAACGAGGAACAAAAUGAGGGCAAGUCUGGUGCCAGCAGCCGCGGUAAUUCCAGCUCAUUUAGUGUAUAUUAAAGUUGUUGCAGUUAAAAAGCUCGUAGUCGAUCAUCUAGUGCUUGCCGUCGUGGCUUCGGUCAUUGCGCGCGGGUGCUAUCUGCUCGAGAACUUCAUCUAACUUCACUGUUCGAUGUUGCUGAUCGGGCACUUUCCUGAGAAAAAAUUAGAGUGUUCAAAGCAGGCUAAUGCCUUGAAUAUUACAGCUUGGAAUAAUAGAUUAAGACUGAAGUCUCUUUUGUUGGUUAUGAACUUUAGUAAUGGUUAAUAGAAACAGGCGGGGGCAUUAGUAUUUAAUUGUCAGAGGUGAAAUUCUAUGAUUUAUUAAAGACUAACUUAUGCGAAAGCAUUUGCCAAGGAUGUUUUCAAUUGAUCAAGAACGAAAGUUAGGGGAUCAAAGACGAUCAGAUACCGUC
rnacentral:rRNA from 1 species